rnacentral:lncRNA from 1 species
CAGGAAAUGACAUGGCAGGGAGACUCAUACACAAACAAGGGAAGAAGGAAGUGGGCCCUCUCUUCCUCCAGAUUCGCCAUGUAAUCCACCGGUAAGGGAGGAUGCCAAUGGAAGGUGUCCAGUAAGAUAAGUCUUAUAACACAAAUAGAUUUAUGGUAAUUAAGACUGAGCUAACAGAUGAGAAUCCUAGUCAUUGGCCAAGCAGCAUUUGUACCUAAUCAUCUUCCUCUCUGUUAAGACGAGCCUGAGGAUGCUGACUGAGUUUGUAUCGUGUAGAAUGCAGCUUGUGGACUCUCUACUGCCAGAAGGUCAGAGCUUGCUGUAAUGGAUCUGACUUAAGCUGACUAGAACAGGCAUGGGCAUGAAGCAUGGCACAGAGGCUCACAUCCAGAUGGAGGCACACAUCAGGAAUGGCCCUUGGCUGGUUAUUCUGACUUAAAGUUUACUUACCCACAAAAUUCUUUUUGAGAUUUUCCUAAUGCUGCCAUUUUAUAGAUUUUCUUAAACUUGCCUCCCUGGAAGAGUGAGCAUAAUUAUGGGACUCUUAAUUUUAAGUGCCCCCAAUCAGCCCAUAGUGCUAAAUUCAUCCUUAGGUUAGAUCAUUAUAAAUUUUUGAAACAUGUGGUUGAUAUACAAAGCCUGAUAUGGACACUUCUGUGUAAUCUCAGGGGCAUUGGAAGACUUUGCAACAGUCUUCCCUUCCAUGAAGCAGACAAUAGUAUGACCAAACAUAGAUGAGCAGUAGACAAAUUGCAUUAACCAGGAAAUAUAAAUUCUGAAUAUGUAACAGAUCACAGAGUCUUCUUGGCGGGGUCUCUGGAAAUUGCUUCUGGAAUAUACAGCUUCUUUCCUCAGAUCUGGUCCUAUUUUCAUCACAGCAAAACUCUUUACUGAAGUGAAAUUCCAGAUUAA